rnacentral:rRNA from 1 species
AUGAGCCAUACAUUGAAGCUAUGGGAGAGAGUCACUGAUCACCGCUUAAGAAGUAUGACAACGGUGACCAAAAAUCAGUUUGGUUUCAUGCUUGGGAGGUCGACCAUGAAAGCCAUUUUCUUGGUACGACAACUCAUGGAGAGAUACAGAGAGCAAAAGGAGGACUUGCAUAUGGUGUUUAUUGACUUAGAGAAGGCCUACGAUAAGAUACCGCGGAAUGUCAUGCGGUGGGCCUUGGAGAAACACAAAGUCUCAGCAAAGUACAUUACCCUUGUCAAGGACAUGUAUGAUAAUGUUGUGACAAGUGUUCAAACAAGUGAUGGCGACACUGAUGACUUCCCGAUUAAAGUAGGACUGCACCAGGGGUCAACUUUGAGCCCUUACCUUUUCGCUCUAGUGAUGGAUGAGGUCACAAGGGAUAUAAGAGGAGAUAUACCAUGGUGUAUGCUCUUUGCAGAUGAUGUGGUGCUAGCCGAUGAUAGUCGGACGGGGGUCAAUAGGAAGUUAGAGCUAUGGAGACAAACUUUGGAAUCGAAAGGUUUUAGACUUAGUAGAACUAAAACCAAGUACAUGAGGUGCGAUUUCAGUACUACUAGGCAAAAGGAGGAGGGGGAGGUUAGCCUUGAUGGACAGGUGGUGCCUCAAAAGGACCUAUUUAGAUAUAUAGGGUGUAUGCUGCAAAAGAAUGGGGAUAUCGAUGAAGACGUGAAUCAUCAAAUCAAAGCCGGAUGGAUGAAGUAG